UUCUCAGCUAGCCUUUAGAUUUGUCUGCUAACAGUAAAAAUACUAUAAUAAAUUGGUAACAUAUGUUGCCAGGCAAGGAAAAGUGAUAUAAAUAAAGAGACUGGGAGACCCAAACCAAGUACAAUGUGAAAAGAAAAGAAUUUAACUUUCAAUCUAUUUGCUGGCUAAUUACCAUUUGAAAAGUCAUUUGAAAGUGUUACUGUUAUUUGCUGAUAUUCUUCCUCAUUUUUCUUUUUUUCCUCUUCAGAUUGCAUUCUUACCCAAAUACUCUUCGUGAUGGCCUGCUUUGCGGCUUUGGGGAGAGGAAAUUGGACUCGAACAGGUGGAGUAAACUGACCCCUCAUCAGUAACAAGCAAGAGAGGACACCAGGUUUUGAACCCAGAAUAACUCAGAUGUUGAAUGUAGUGUCUUGUGGAAGCCUGACAUCAUUAAGGACUGGAAGAGAAAAAUCUGAGUAAGACAGUGUAAUCAAGAUGCUUGCUCUUUGAUGUGCUGCUGGAAGGGUC